UACGUAGGGUGCAAGCGUUGUCCGGAAUUAUUGGGCGUAAAGAGCUCGUAGGCGGUCUGUCGCGUCUGCUGUGAAAACUCAGGGCUUAACCCUGAGCUUGCAGUGGGUACGGGGCAGACUAGAGUGCGGUAGGGGGAGACUGGAAUUCCUGGUGUAGCGGUGAAAUGCGCAGAUAUCAGGGAGGGAACACCGGGUGGGCGAAAGGCG
rnacentral:rRNA from 1 species